UACGUAGGGUGCGAGCGUUGUCCGGAUUUAUUGGGCGUAAAGAGCUCGUAGGCGGUUUGUCGCGUCGGCCGUGAAAUCUCCACGCUUAACGUGGAGCGUGCGGUCGAUACGGGCAGACUUGAGUUCGGUAGGGGAGACUGGAAUUCCUGGUGUAGCGGUGAAAUGCGCAGAUAUCAGGAGGAACACCGGUGGCGAAGGCGGCAUCCUGGACCGGUAUUGACGCUGAGGCGCGAAAGCUAGGGGAGCAAACGGG
rnacentral:rRNA from 1 species